ACAAGAAGUAAUGGGUUUAAUCUGCAGCAAGGGAGAUUUGGGUUAGAUGGGUUAGAAAAGUUUUCUAAUUAUAAAGGUAGUUAAUCUCUGGAAGGUGCUUCC